GAUUUGGUAUGAUACUUCUGAAAUCGAUGAUAUCGAUGAUAUCGAUGAGAUUAAUAUUCAAAUCU
rnacentral:tRNA from 1 species